UCCGAUAUGGUGUAACGGCUAACAUUACCGCCUUUCAUAUGCAUGUCCUCGUAUCCUCUUCAGAUCGCGGUAGCUCGGGGUUCGAUUCCCCGUAUCGGAG